rnacentral:SRP_RNA from 1 species
AAACGUAAGCCGCAACGAUUACCCGUCAACCUGGUCAGGUCCGGAAGGAAGCAGCCACAGCGGGAACAUUGUGUGCCGGGGUGUGGCUGGC